rnacentral:rRNA from 1 species
CAGUCGCCGCGGGAAUACGUAGGGUGCAAGCGUUAAUCGGAAUUACUGGGCGUAAAGCGUGCGCAGGCGGUUAUGUAAGACAGUUGUGAAAUCCCCGGGCUCAACCUGGGAACUGCAUCUGUGACUGCAUAGCUAGAGUACGGUAGAGGGGGAUGGAAUUCCGCGUGUAGCAGUGAAAUGCGUAGAUAUGCGGAGGAACACCGAUGGCGAAGGCAAUCCCCUGGACCUGUACUGACGCUCAUGCACGAAAGCGUGGGGAGCAAACAGGAUUAGAUACCCCCGUAGUCCCUGUCUCUUAUAC